ACCCUGUUCAGUGUGUCUUUUGUGCUCUUCAUUACUAUGUGCGUCGUUACUCAGGUGUGCGUCGUUACUCAGGUGUGCGCUGUGUCGUAAAUCCAGCGCUCCUUUUCCGUCUCCGCACGUGAGCCUUCGGGACUCCUCAGACCAUGCGAGCCACAUAUACACGGACUACUGCGGGACUUCUAAUGAAUAAGGAGGAAAGCUCAGGUUCCUCUUCUGACUGCACAGUUGAAGUUGCUGAUUUGACGGAUGGCUCCACGUAAACAGACGACAGAGGUAAGAUAUGUUAUCUUCGUUGGGUUCUUAAAAUCGAUAGUGGAAAUGAAAAUAUGGUCCUAUCUGAGAAAGCAUAAACGUCCCAAAAACAAUGGCUUAACAGUGAUGAACAUUGUAAAACUUAGUUUUCUGUGUUUUGCAGGUUUGUUACUUAAGUCGCCUUCAGAAACUCAAAGCACAUCACAAUGUGUGUGAGAGGCGCUAUGAGAAGGCGCACACAAAAACAAUAAACGAUGAGAGAGAGAGAACCUUGUUUUUCCACCAUAGCCUGAACAAAGCGGUUAGUUGGAUGACCCCUUUUUAUAAUGUACUUUAGAGUGACCAACAAAAACACAUGACGACAGGGAUAUUCAUAUACAUACAUAUACAUUUAUGUCUUCAGUUUCAGUGACCUCUUUGAAAGUCACUGCAGUAGUCUGAGCUGAAAGAGGAAUUUGUAAUGCCUGUCAUCAAAAUGCUGACCAGUUAUGAUGGUACAUGCGUUUAUACCCAUUAUGGACACUGCUGUGAUUAAAAAUGAAUAUUAAACUGUAUUACGAUGUACAGUGAGAAACUAUUAAAGACAUCAAGACAUGUAGGGCUGCUCAAUUAAGGCAAAAUCAUAAUCAGUUAUUUUAAUCAAUAUUGAGAUCUUGAUUAUUUAACAUGACUACUCUUUGACUCUGGAAAUACUGCAUUCAUUAAACUUUGUUGGAAAAGUUGUGGGGGGAAAAGAUAACAUUUGAACACAUACUGAUCAAACUUGCAAAUUAAGUAGUUUUGAUCAAACAUGACUCAAGAUCUUGUUACUGCAGCCUGUUUCUUGCUGAAAAUGUUUUCAGAAACAUAUUGUAGUGUACUGUUUAGCUUUUAAUAUGAGAAGAGGGACAGAGAGGGACUAACCUGCAUCCACAGCCAGACUAAAACAGUGGAAGUGUGACUUCUCUCUGCUC